rnacentral:rRNA from 1 species
AGUGAACGCUGGCGGUAGGCCUAACACAUGCAAGUCGAACGGCAGCACAGUAAGAGCUUGCUCUUACGGGUGGCGAGUGGCGGACGGGUGAGGAAUACAUCGGAAUCUACUUUUUCGUGGGGGAUAACGUAGGGAAACUUACGCUAAUACCGCAUACGACCUACGGGUGAAAGCAGGGGAUCUUCGGACCUUGCGCGAUUGAAUGAGCCGAUGUCGGAUUAGCUAGUUGGCGGGGUAAAGGCCCACCAAGGCGACGAUCCGUAGCUGGUCUGAGAGGAUGAUCAGCCACACUGGAACUGAGACACGGUACAGACUCCUACGGGAGGCAGCAGUGGGGAAUAGUGGACAAUGGGCGCAAGCCUGAUCCAGCCAUACCGCGUGGGUGAAGAAGGCCUUCGGGUUGUAAAGCCCUUUUGUUGGGAAAGAAAAGCAGCAGGUUAAUACCCCGCUGUUCUGACGGUACCCAAAGAAUAAGCACCGGCUAACUUCGUG